CGUAGGAGGCAAGCGUUAUCCGGAGUUACUGGGCGUAAAGCGCGUGUAGGUGGAUUGGUAAGUUACUUAUGUAAGCUCCUGGCUAAACUAGGAGAGGUUGAGUGAUACUGCCAGUCUUGAAUAGAGGAGAGGUUGACGGAAUUCCGCGUGUAGUGGUGAAAUGCGUAGAGAUGCGGAAGAACACCAGUGGCGAAGGCGGUCAACUGGCCUCAUAUUGACACUCAGACGCGAAGGCAUGGGUAGCGAACGGGAUUAGAAACCCCGGUAGUCCAUGCAAUAAACGAUGCACACUGAAUGUUCGUUGUCCUACGGGGCAAUGAGUGUUGAAGCUAACGCGUUAAGUGUGCCGCCUGGGGAGUACGGUCGCAAGGCUA
rnacentral:rRNA from 1 species